AGGUAUGAAGACUCCCCAGCUCUGUAAGAAUACUUUGCUAUUCUGAUGUGCCCAAGGCCUUAAAAGUGACAUAAGGCCAAUGACAAGUAAUUGAGAACUGGAAGAUGGGCAUACAAGAGAACAAAAAGGUAGAAAAAAGGAAAUGGACUCCAGCGGAGUGAUUCUUACAGUAUAUAACUGGGGUUGGGCCUCUGCUUGUUGACUUAUAGACCAUCUUAGCAAAAGUUGUUACCCUCAAGUAGAUGCCUUGAAAGUAAUACAAAUCAUGCAUCUCUUAUAGUACUUUGUAUCUCUUUGUAUUUAUCAAUUUGCACUCAGACCUUUCCAUCUGUCCCUCUGUCUAGCAAUAUUAGGGUUUUAUUAGUGCUUGACUUCCCUUCCUCUGUCAAAGCACUUCUGUAAGUGAACAUUCACGUGAGCCACCUCUCAUCUCAAAUAUCACAGCAAAAGCUAGUGGGGCAAAUGUCAUUGUGUGUCAUACUGUUGUGUGGUGUUUGCUGAAGAGAAGCACCAAUAUAUGCAAAUCUGGAUUGUGGAUUGUGCUCUUUAGUGUUCUUACGAUACUGCUCCUUCCACACCUAGUUGAAUGCCCUUCCCUUGUACUUGUGGAGGUAUCAUGGACUCUCUUUUUCCUUCCUUCAACUUUGGAAAGUUGCAUUUUCUGGGAUUUUUUUUUUCUUGGUUCGGUUAGUUUUCUUCUAAAAAGACUGAAAGUUGAAUUGGCUUAGCACAAGGCCUGAUGGAAUGCCAGAGAGCAGCAGAGGGAAGGAUAAAAUGGGACUUCCCCCUUCUGCUGAUCUUAGUAAGUCAUAUUGUGUAAAUUCACCCAAAAAUUAAGUAACUCUGUGCUUGUGCUGCCAGCAUCCCAUCUCCCUCCUGGUGGUCAAUUCUUACUCUCUCCUCUGCUAAUAUUGAUGUAUCUGAUUCUGCUAGUUCAGGUAGCUUAACUAGUAGAAAACUAUUCACCAUUUUUUACAGCAAGUUUCUCACCAGGAAGGGAACGCAGCAGCGGCAGUGUUAAUUAGAUCAAUGUGGGAGCAGAGUCUGGGAGCCCUCAGGCACUUUGGUGAGGAACAGAGUGGGGUGGGAGUGUCACAGGGACACAUGGACAGAUGGACACAGCUGCUUCAAAGGGGGAUGUUUAGAGACAGGAGUACCAUGGCCGCCAUGGGAGCAAGGCUGAAAAAUAAGCUUUAAAUAUAAACUUCUAAUUGAAAUCAAAGGCAACAACAGCUAUUGGCUUACGGCUGCUGCAGCGGCUCCCUAAGACAGGGCUGUAUCCUCAUUACCAUUCCAUGCAACUUCAGUGAGAAGCACGGCGGACACCCUCUGGUGGCUGUAACCGCAACAGAAAUUAUUUUCCAUCAAUGUAAAGUGGGAGACGGUUUUGUUUGGUAUGUAUUUCUUGCCCUCUAGUCUUGACUAGAGUCAAAAAUACUUGCUGUGCUCAUGGUUAUUUGCAGUGUAAGGUUUAAAUAUCUCCAAUCAUUAAACUUCAUGACUUCA